UCCGGCGUAGCUCAAUGGUAGAGCAUGCGACUGUUAAUCGCAGGGUUACAGGUUCGAGUCCUGUCGCCGGAGCCA
rnacentral:tRNA from 2 species